GUACGGGAGGCAGCAGUCGAGAAUUUUUCACAAUGGGCGCAAGCCUGAUGGAGCGACGCCGCGUGGGGGAUGAAUGGCUUCGGCCCGUAAACCCCUGUCAUUCGCGAUCAAAGCGCAUUAUUUAAAAGAUGAUGUGUUGAUAGUAGCGGAAGAGGAAGGGACGGCUAACUCUGUGCCAGCAGCCGCGGUAAUACAGAGGUCCCGAGCGUUGUUCGGAUUCACUGGGCGUAAAGGGUGCGUAGGUGGUGAGGUAAGUCGGAUGUGAAAGCUCGGAGCUCAACUCCGAAAUGGCAUUGGAAACUACCUUGCUGGAGGGAUGGAGGGGGGACUGGAAUUCUCGGUGUAGCAGUGAAAUGCGUAGAUAUCGAGAGGAACACCAGUGGCGAAGGCGAGUCCCUGGACAUCUCCUGACACUGAGGCACGAAAGCUAGGGGAGCAAACAGGAUUAGAUACCCGCGUAGUCCC
rnacentral:rRNA from 1 species